rnacentral:hammerhead_ribozyme from 1 species
AUCCAACUGAUGAAUCCCAAAUAGAGCAAAACGCGCGUCCCAGAU